AAUUUUUGUAAUGGACGUUGGUAAUUUUUACAAAAAAGAAACUUCCCUCAAGGAAGCAACUAGUCUCGAGACAUUCCUUGACUCUGUUUCUAUUACACGCCGUUACAUGGUAGGAAGAGCAACACAUUUGAAGACAACCGUAUAUCAUGCAUCUAAGGAAGUUUCAACGGAAGCUGAUUUUCAAGAUAUUUUUAAGCUUCAGCACUAUCCAUAUGAUUUGAAACCUACUGUUAUGCAAGUACAUGUAUUAGUAGAUUUCAGUGUGAGCAGUUGGGAUCGUUUCAUUCCAAUCGAAUACAGACAGUAUUACACUGCUUUGGACGAGUA